GGUGUUUUGGCCGAGCGGUCUAAGGCGCUAGCUUAAGGACGUCUCCUGGAUGAUCCGCUAGUCCGAAAGGGCGUGAGUUCGAAUCUCACAGACAUCA
rnacentral:tRNA from 1 species